GGGGGGGGGUGGCGGGGGGCGGGACGGAGGCGGGUCGAGCGGGGGCGCGGGCUUCGGCCUGGCGGCGAGGGGCGAACGGGUGAGUAAUACAUCGGAGCGUGCCCAGUAGUGGGGGAUAGCUCGGCGCAGGCCGGCGUAAGGCCGCAUACGACCUGAGGGUGAAAGCGGGGGAUCUUCGGACCUCGCGCUAGUGGAGCGGCCGCGGGCAGAUUAGCUAGCUGGUGGGGUAAAGGCCUACCACGGCGACGCUCUGCAGCUGGUCUGAGAGGACGACCAGCCACACUGGGACUGAGACACGGCCCAGACUCCUACGGGAGGCAGCAGUGGGGAAUUUUGGACAAUGGGCGAAAGCCUGAUCCAGCAAUGCCGCGUGUGUGAUGAAGGCCUUCGGGUUGUAAAGCACUUUUGGCGGGAACGAAAAGGACUGUGCCAAUACCACGGUUCGAUGACGGUACCCGCAGAAUAAGCACCGGCUAACUACGU
rnacentral:rRNA from 1 species